rnacentral:lncRNA from 1 species
CCCCCGCACGCACCAAAGCUCCCAGCUUUUUCCCCUUCCGUCCUUCGUCGCCGCCGCUCUAGGGUUUCCUCUUCCCGAUCCCCGAUCCAGCAGCAGCGAGCGAGCGAUGGCGGCCGCGGGAGACGCCGGCGAGAAGAAGAUGAUCACGCUCAAGAGCUCGGACGGCGAGGAGUUCGAGGUGGAGGAGGCGGUGGCCAUGGAGUCGCAGACGAUCCGCCACAUGAUCGAGGACGACUGCGCCGACAACGGCAUCCCGCUCCCCAACGUCAACUCCAAGAUCCUCUCCAAGGUCAUCGAGUACUGCAACAAGCACGUCCAGGCCAAGCCCGCCGACGGGGCCGCGGCCGCCGCCGGAGCCUCGGACGCCGCCGCCCCCGCCGCUCCCGCG